rnacentral:tRNA from 1 species
GGAGAGAUGGCAGAGUGGAAUCGAAUGCGCUGCCUUGGAAAGGCAGUAUAUGGGCAACCGUAUCCGGGGUUCGAAUCCCCGUCUCUCCGCCA